rnacentral:pre_miRNA from 1 species
AGUAGGAUAAGUGGGUCAAAUGGUGGUUCCAUUCCAAUUGUUCUAAGGAAUCUCCAUAGUGCUUUCCAGAGUGGUUGUACCAGUUUGCAGUCCCACCAGUAAU